rfam:Vitis vinifera, whole genome shotgun sequence of line PN40024, unoriented chromosome 5, chr5
ACAAACCUCGAGUUUGUGCGCGAAUCCAACCCCUCAAUCUUCUUUCAAAGGGGUGUUAGAUUCACGCACAAACUCGGGAUCUGUCU